UGGGCACAUUAGUAUUAGGAUACAGGGUUGCUCACAAACACGGAAGGCAGGGAUUGUGAAAGGGACUAGACACAUGACUGAAGAAGCCCCAUGUUUCCCAGUCAGUACUUGCCUCUACCUCAUACUUCUCCCUCCACUUAGCCUUUUUUAUCUCCUCUGUUCUCUCUGCAGGGCAACACUCCAUGCCUUUCCCAACCCUUGUGGGCAGAUGGAUAUUUCACUGCUCUUGAACUUCCAUCAGCUCCAUUUGAAUAACAUGCUGGCUCUCCCCGGGCUAUCUCAGAAUCUGAUUUUCAAAUUUUUGAGAGAAUCCAACUGGCCCAUUCAACCUUGGCCAGAGAAGGAGAAUCUCCAGUCAGAGGUCACUAGGGAUGAGCAGAAUAGUGACUUAAUUAUGGAAAAAGCCAAUCUGCUUCAAGAUUCCUAGUCCACUCUCUGGAUCAAGCACACCAAGGAGAAGAUUGACCAUGGCCAUGUUAAAGGAAGGGCUCAGACUGAGUAGUCCCAACCUCAUGACUGAAAUGCAUGUAGAACCUACUGAUUUCCUAAACUAUGAGUUUGUUCUCAGGCUGGAUCUCACUUUGGAGCAGAAUUUGACUAAUCUUUGCCUCUGUCCAACGGAUGGUGUGAGGCCUGUUUUGGUGGCAAAGGACCACACUGCUUGCAACAGAUCCCAUAGAUGUUGCCCCAGUCUGUAUAAUUUUCAUCAAGUCAUGACAGCAGCACCAAAGGGGCUAAGUGGCAUUUCAAUUGUGUUUGGUCUAAAGUUUCUAAAACCUCAUCAAUGCUAUUAAAAACAAUAACAUUAUGCCAGAAAGAGUCGCAGAGGAAACAAAACAUUAUGGGGUUCUAAGAAACAUGGUAAUCAAAGACAGCUGAGCCUAAAAAGACAAAUCCAUGUCAAUGACUUCAAGGAAAUAAAAAUACAUUUAAAAUGUUUGAGUAAAUCAACUUCACAAAUGGCCAUUAGGAGAAGAGUAGCAAUACUAGUUUUUGCCCUGCUUUGCUUCCUUUUUUGACCUGUCCCUUGCCAACUUCAUGGAAUUAUGGUAGGACUAGGGACCACAUAAGUUUGGAACUGCCUGAAACUAUCUUUGCCAUUAUUUGCAGAGAGUCUGUUUGAGAAUGAAGCCAAUCCAAGAAAGAAGAAUCCAAGAGAUACAUACAAAGUUAUUAUUUCAUUUGAGUCCCACAAUCCAGCUGUAUCUAAAAAUACCCAUUAAACUUCCAAGUUAUUUG
rnacentral:lncRNA from 1 species